UUUUUUUGGACCUAUUAAGAUCCAAUCCCUUACACAAUGCAACAAAAAACUAUAGAACUUAACGAUAGUAAUGUUGGAAUUAUAUAUUAGCAGCAGUCACAAUAACAGUACCAAUAGCAGAGCAAUAACAGUACCAAUAGCAGCUCAAUAUCAGCAACAAGAGCAGUACUAACAAGACUAGGAAAUCAGAAAAAUUAGAACAACUUAGCUGUUUAGAAACGAGAGCCGGGGCGUAGCAAAGCUACUGUCCUAAAAAUUGAUUCCGCCCUCACUGGUUGUUAACCUUUGAUACAAAUGAGCUCCAAUGGCGUUCACCCUCCAGGAUUCAACGGCAAGCCUUCGAUUGCGUGUACUCGCAGAAGAAAGCUAUGGACUUGUCUUUGUGGAUUGCCCAGAAUAUACGAACAAAACAGAACAGAAGAGAAGGAAGACUGUUUGUGCGAUUGUUUUUGUGUUAAAACUGUAAGAGAAAAGAGCAUCAUACACUGUUAUAUAUAUGCAGAGAAGAAAAAUAGAAGAACGUUGGGAAAGCAACGAGAAGAAGAUCGAGGGAAUCAGUAACGUAAAAUAUAACGUUUUUGGAACUAAAUAAAGCUUUUUACGUUUUGGGGAAAAACGGCUAGGGCAUUGAAGCUAGAACAUAGCAUAAAAAGAAAUUAGGGAUUUAACCAAAACAGUGGGCUACCUCUAGGUGCACCUGCGAAGCACAAUUUUCUGGAUCGACAAUCCCCCCUGCGCGGGCGUAGCGCGCGCACACACUAAGGUUUUCUGACCGAAAGUCCGAGAAUCACCUCUAGGUGCACCUGCGAAGCACAAUUUUCUGGAUCGACAAUCCCCCCUGCGCGGGCGUAGCGCGCGCACACACUAAGGUUUUCUGACCGAAAGUCCGAGAAUCACCUCUAGGUGCACCUGCGAAGCACAAUUUUCUGGAUCGACAAUCCCCCCUGCGCGGGCGUAGCGCGCGCACACACUAAGGUUUUCUGACCGAAAGUCCGAGAAUCAGAGAAUCAAGCUUGGCCUCGCUCAAUUCCUUAGCCGUCCUCAUGUGCGCGAGCCCAUCCCUAUUUCCUCAACCAUGUUACUAAGCCCAUAACAACAAGUACUAAUAUGCACUAUGAGAGUUCCAAGAAUAGCCAAUGUGGGACUUUGCAAAAAAACAUAAGAUUUUUGAGCAUAACCAACAAUCCCCCACAUGAUCCAAAAUUAUCAAAGAGAUAAAAAUUAAAAGGAAGUGAGAAGGGCAAUGGAUUUUAGAUACAUAAUGUCGAUACCUUAUGGGUUUGAAUUGACACUUAGUAGAACAAACUCAUGAUUGUAGAUUAUAGGUGAAUUAAAUUCUUGAACCUAUUAUCUGUGAUACAAUCAAUUGAGAUUGCAUACAUUUCUUAAAUUCUGAAUCCACACAAGUCCGCGGUUGGGCACGUUCUAGGCCAUGCGCCAUGUCCCAGAUUUUCAUAAAGGCUCUAGAGAGUUUGCCAAGGACUCUCAUAGGAAGCGGCCUACACUUCCACCUUUAUAUAGGUGAACCCAUCAAGUGUAUACUGACAUACACCACCCUUUAGGGGCUAUGAGUUUCAUUAAGAAUCUAAACGAUUCAUCCUUUCACAAUUUGUCAGUAAGCACCACAUGCACACAAGAAGGGAU
rnacentral:lncRNA from 1 species